UACCAUCAUCAACCCAACAUUCCUCAUCAACAGUCCAAAAGACACAACCUGUGGUCCAACCAACCCCAAGAGUAGUCCAUCCUACUCCAUCACUAGUCCAAGAAACAACAAUAGAGGUCCAACCUUCCCAAGUAACAACACCAACAGUAGUUUAAGAAACAAUGAGAGUGGUCCAACCUUCCCAAUUGACUGCACCAACAACCAUCCAAGAAACAACAAGAGUGGUCCAACCGCCUCAAAUGACGGCACCGACAGCAAUUCAAGAAACAAGAAGAGUGGUCCAAUCACCUUCAUUAGUGACCGCACCGGCAAGAGUCCAAGCGACACCACAACCUUCCAUAGAGGAGGCGAAUCUUACAAACAAUGUUGAGGGGGAUCACCUACAUAAUGAACAAGAUGUCCAUUAGGAUGAUAAUGUUACGAAGAUCAAGAUACGCCAUCUUGGUGAAGGAAAUAUGUUUCAUGGGAGCCUCAUCAUGAGAAGAAAAUCAGAGAGAUAUUUGAUAAAAAAAAUGUCCUAAACGCCUUACUGACAUGCUUACAAAAGUGAGAGACAAGGAGGAAAGACCUAGAUGGAUGGGAGAGGAUGCAUAUAAGGGCCUUCUUAAACAUUGGGAGAGUGAUGGUUUCAAAAAGAUGUAUUCACAAAACAAGAAUAAUAGGAGUUCAAGUAAGGGAGGAGCUGUCCAUAGCACAGGACGGAAGGCUCAUCACGACAUUGCACUUGAUAUGAGAAAAAUACUUGGACAAGUUGUCUAUCCUGAUGAGCUUUUUUGGCUACCUAUUAGAAGAAGUCAGGCGAUUGGGUUGAUAGUCGUGCUGAAAAAACUUAUGUAAGUUAUUUGCUUGUAG